AGCUGGAUAGCUCAGUUGGUUGGACCAUUAGAGCAUGGUGCUGAUAACGCCAAGGUUGCAGGAUCAAGGGACAGCUGCAUAUUCCUACCUUGCAGGGGGUUA